rnacentral:rRNA from 1 species
CAGUAGCCGCGGUAAUACAGAGGGUGCGAGCGUUAAUCGGAUUUACUGGGCGUAAAGCGUGCGUAGGCGGCUUCUUAAGUCGGAUGUGAAAUCCCUGAGCUUAACUUAGGAAUUGCAUUCGAUACUGGGAAGAUAGAGUAUGGGAGAGGAUGGUAGAAUUCCAGGUGUAGCGGUGAAAUGCGUAGAGAUCUGGAGGAAUACCGAUGGCGAAGGCAGCCAUCUGGCCUAAUACUGACGCUGAGGUACGAAAGCAUGGGGAGCAAACAGGAUUAGAUACCCGGGUAGUCCCUGUCUCUUAUAC